rnacentral:lncRNA from 1 species
GUUUGAGUGGCAAUUUUCGUAAUUGUUAUAUAAAGGGAUGGGUUAACUUAAAUUUUAUGUGAGGAUGCAUGUGGUGCUGACAACUCAGUAAUGGCAUGGUGUAAAUAAGAUACACAUUUAAGGUUAUUUAUUAAAAUCUUUCUAAAAUAAUAUAAAAGAGAUUUUUGAUCAUCGUGAUAGCAUAUUUACAAAGUUCUGAUCAUAAAUCAUAUAUGAAUCAUGAUGCAUAAUGUCAUAAUUGCUCACAAUUCCAAAUCUAACAAUAAAAUUGCAAGAACAUGAUGCAUAAUGCAUAAUAUAUUGUAAAUGCAAAAUGCAGAAUAUAUUACGUGAUGCAGAGUGUGCAUGCACCAACCAAAGUUUAUGCAUGAUGUAAAAUGUAAGACACUCAUACAACAAGAAAAAUAAUUUAUAAAACAAAAAUGUCAUAAUUUCUCAAACAUCCAAACUUAACUAUAAGAU